GGAAGCGUGUCCGAGCGGCCUAAGGAGAUGGUCUUGAAAACCAUUGUGCGGCAACGUACCGUGGGUUCGAAUCCCACCGCUUCCGCAA
rnacentral:tRNA from 1 species